UGAGCAACCUGCCCUUAGCUCUGGGAUAAACCCCGGGGAACCGGGGCUAAUACCGGAUAUGAGUCCGAGCGGCAUCACGCGGACUGGAAAGUUUUUCGGCUAAGGAUGGGCUCGCGGCCUAUCAGCUAGUUGGUGUGGUAAUGGCCCACCAAGGCGACGACGGGUAGCCGGCCUGAGAGGGUGACCGGCCACACUGGGACUGAGACACGGCCCAGACUCCGUACGGGAGGCA
rnacentral:rRNA from 1 species